CAGUCGCCGCGGUAAUACGUAGGUGGCAAGCGUUGUCCGGAUUUAUUGGGCGUAAAGCGAGCGCAGGCGGUUCCUUAAGUCUGAUGUGAAAGCCCCCGGCUCAACCGGGGAGGGUCAUUGGAAGCUGGGGAACUUGAGUGCAGAAGAGGAGAGUGGAAUUCCAUGUGUAGCGGUGAAAUGCGUAGAGAUGUGGAGGAACACCAGUGGCGAAGGCGACUCUCUGGUCUGUAACUGACGCUGAGGAGCGAAAGCGUGGGGAGCGAACAGGAUUAGAUACCCGGGUAGUCCCUGUCUCUUAUAA
rnacentral:rRNA from 1 species